CUGGGUUAAGGGAGUACCAAAGUUUAGUGCCCUGUGUAUAUUCUUUUCUAAAAAAACAAACUAUCAUCCAUGUAUUUAAAUGGACGUAGGAAAUUCAAGAACAAAUCAGGGAAAUUUAACAUCAUUUCAGUAUUACCAACAUAGGGCUUUGUGUAACGACUGUGACAUCAAGCUUUAAACAGAUAAGGCUUUACCUCGGCUAGUCCAAUAGAAAUACAGUAUGUAAAUUAACCCAUAUUAUCUGUAUGCUGAUUGGCCUGAGUUCCCCUGAAUGUCACAAUCUCACCAUCCAGCAAUGAGGUAUUUUACUGCCGUCUCGAGAUCAGAUUAUCACUGUAGAGAAGAUUUUUAUUUUUUGUUUCAUUAACAGAUUAUUAUAAAGCAAUAAGCAUGCAGAAAAAGAAGCAGACGUGUUACAUUGGGAAUUAAUGAAAGCAUGUCUGCUAGUUUUGGAUAGGAGAACUGGGGAGUUCUUGCUUAAAAUUUUAUAUCAUCCCCACAAACAAAACUCUUCGGGAAUGGUAAAAUAAGAAAAUGCAUGAUUCUAGAGGCAUUCCUAAGCACCCACGUGUCAGGCUAUGUGGUGUCUGUGGUAUCAUCCGACCUUUUGGACUGGUGGCUUACUGAGAGUUCCAUUUCUGGAAAGCCUUUCAAGACUGAGGAAUAUCAGACUGCGAAUCACCGGGAACGGUUCCUUUGCAGCACAGAAGCAAUCUCUCUCCCCAUCUUCGCAUAUUCUGAUGGCAAAUCAAAUGGAAGAAAAGAGGAAGCAUGACUGCAGAUCAGAUCAGUUCUCUUUGCGGAUUAUAUUUUCAGUAAAAUGUAUGGAUCUAUCUUUACCUUGUUCUUAUGUCUAGAUCAUGAGACUUGACUGAGGCUGUA
rnacentral:lncRNA from 1 species